AGCGAACGCUGGCGGCAGGCUUAACACAUGCAAGCCGAACGCCCCGCAAGGGGAGUGGCAGACGGGUGAGUAACACGUGGGAACGUACCCUUUGGUUCGGAAUAACUUGGGGAAACUCAAGCUAAUACCGGAUAAGCCCUUAUGGGGAAAGGUUUACCGCCGAAGGAUCGGCCCGCGUCUGAUUAGCUAGUUGGUGAGGUAAUGGCUCACCAAGGCGACGAUCAGUAGCUGGUCUGAGAGGAUGAUCAGCCACACUGGGACUGAGACACGGCCCAGACUCCUACGGGAGGCAGCAGUGGGGAAUAUUGGACAAUGGGGGCAACCCUGAUCCAGCCAUGCCGCGUGAGUGAUGAAGGCCUUAGGGUUGUAAAGCUCUUUUACCCGGGACGAUAAUGACUGUACCGGGAGAAUAAGCCCCGGCUAACUUCGUGCCAGCCGCCGCGGUAA
rnacentral:rRNA from 1 species